AUGGAUGUCGAGGGCGCCCCUGACUCCAUCUCUUGGCGCCUGGAGUCCUCCGGCCGCUUCACCACUAAGUCCCUAUACUCGGCCAUCGCCCCCUCGCCGGCUCCUGAGCCCUUUAGCCUGAUCUGGGACAUUUUCCUGCCUCUGAAGAUUAGGAUCUUUCUGUGGCAGUGGAUCCGGGGACGCCUUCCCUCUGGGAUAGAGGUCCUCAAACACAAUGGCCCAGGCGAUGGGAUGUGUCCCAUGUGUGGCACAGUGGAGGAUGCUAAUCACAUCUUCUUCUCCUGCUCCACAGCCCAGUUCCUGUGGUCCUGCUUCCGCGAGACGGUUGGUGGGCAAUGGUGCAACACCAACUUCCCUGACAUGUUUGCGGAGAUCCACGCCUCUGCCCCUCGCCACCGCCAUAUUAGAUGGCUGUGCGUUGGGGUCCUCGCCUAG
rnacentral:rRNA from 1 species